AAAUGAAUGAGGAGAGCCCCAUGUGGGAUUACAAACUUGCUGGAAAUGGAUGAGAAACCUUCUGCUCUGCUGGAGUUUAUCUUGAGUGUGCCUUAAAAUUCCAUUUCAUGGAGAACUGUGCGUGGUUGAAUUUUGAUUGAUUACUCAAUUAACUGAUGUAUUGGUAGAGUGAUUAAGAAAGAAGACUUUGGGAUCAGACCAACCUGGUUUUGAAUUCAAGCUCAGCAACUUACUAGGUAAGGAGGAGAAAAGAAAGAAGGAAAAAUUGGAAAGAUAAAUGGGGUCUUUCCAGUGAAGGCUCAAUUUUCCUACAUAAUUAAGAGUUUGGAAUUCGGGCAAUAUCAAGAACCACAUCUGUCCUGAAAUCAAUUAUCUCUGUUUGGAAUAUGGAUAUGAGAGAUCACUUUGCUGUGCUGUAAAUGAUCGAUUAAAAUACAUAUUUCUUUUGUCUCCUGGUACUUUCUUAUCCCAGUGCUGUGCUGAGCCAUAUUGGAGCCUAAGGCAAAAGGGACCAUCAGUAACACUAAUCCUGUCUUUAUUUAAAAUUUUGAUAUUUUGUUCAUCAUGGAUUUAUUUGCAUAAAUUUUAAUAUUGAAAUCUAUUGAUUAAAAUAUUAUGUAUCUUGA
rnacentral:lncRNA from 1 species